UUUGGGCUUUGACAUUUUCAUAAAUCCAGGCCCUUUAAAUUUAAAAAAAAAACAUACAGAUCUACCUCUUAUAUUAAAGCAAAAUAAUGUUGACUUUUUGACUUUGAUGUGGCAAUGCUCUUUGGGCAGAGAAUUGUGUUUUUAGCGGCAAAAUGGUUUUCCUCCUUUCUCCUCAUUUGUGAAACCGUCUAAAUGAAGAAUCUUUAUAUGGAAACUAAUCAAUUAUCAAUCAGUUAUUCUUCUACAAAAUUAUGAAUGUGCUUCCAUUAUUAUCGCUUAUAAUCAAAACAUCUUUCUCUCCUAAUACACAUAGCGAUCUCAUACCUGCUUCAGAAAUCCCUAGAUCUCAAACACGACAACUCUCACAAGAAGCAGUGGAAUCGUUUUUCAGUUUUGUUGUUCAAUCGCCAUUGAUCCGCAACCAAGUCUCAUUUUUAGGGUUUGUGGGUGUUUGAAUCGGGGCUAGAGUUUAAAUUCUCAAUUUCUCAGAUCAGAUUAAGCUGGAAGGAAGCAAAUUGGGGAUGACGGGUCAAAUAGUUUAUACACACUUCUGUUUAAUUUGCUUAUGUUAAAGGGAUGUUGGAUUUUAUCUCGGUUUUUUUAAUUUAUAUAAUUUGAAGUGUUUUUUAUUGUUUUUAGAUGGGUUGAUGUUUGUAAUCUGAAUUAAGUGUCUGAUUUGUUGUUUUUUUUUGUGAUAAUGUAAUUGUGCUUAUUAGGGUUUGUUUUGAAUGGUUUAGGAUAAAGUGGUGAAGAGUGGGUCGACAUGGAAGUUAUUAAGGAGUUCCUCGGGUGGGUCGAUUUGAAUGUUUUGAAUGCAUAAUGAGUUGGCUCCGAGUGAUGUCACUAGCCUAUCGGGGAGUUGCCUCUUCAACUUGACAGUUUUUUGUGUUCAGUGCAACCGAAGAAACUCAUGGCAGUAAAGAUAGAACCAUUGGGUUCGUUCAUGUCGUCUUUUACAAGGCUUGACAGACGUCUCUUUAUGUGGAAUGAUCAAGACUAAGCCUCUUAUGUGGUUUUUCACCGCCUCAGCCGAGGUGCCCCUCGAGGCGUGUGCCUCAAAACGUUUUUUUCAACCACGAAUGUAGGUUAGAACUAUGAAUUUAAUUGGGCUUUUAAGCGUCUUCAAGCUGGUACUUGGUUCACACUGUUUGCCUUUAGCAGGUUAUAAAGCCAAGUUUUUAGAAGGCCUGUCAUUCUGAAACAUAAUUUGUGGGUUACACCUUAUGCACCUGUUCAUGUGAUUAUCUUUCACGCACUACGUACAACUACGCAAGUGCAUAUGCAGUUCUCAACUUAAAGUUGAUUCCGUAUUGAGUUGAGCCGUGCUGUCUUCUAAUCACUCAAGGAGCCAAAGAAGUCUGAUUGUUGCAAUAGUUGCAGUUUCUUGCUUACAUCGAUGUGUCUCUUGAGAAAACAUUGAGAACGGGUUUUGAAAAGUUUGAAAUGAAGGCUUCACAAAUAUUGAGAACAUUUUUAUGGUUUGAAGAAAAGAAGAUAAUAAUGACAAGAGUAAUAUGGAGGUUGCAGAAGAAGGUGUUGAAGCAAGUCACGUGUAUCUGAACAGAUUGAGGUUUAUGCGACAAAUUUAAAAAAUACUGAUAGCUUUACUCAACAAAUAGUCAUAUCUAGAUUCUUAUCAUCCAAUAUACUCUAGAUUGUAAACUUGUAGUCUUCCCAACUUUGAAAGUAUGCAUUGAGUUCAUCUCUACCUUCAUUGAACUUAACAAAUUUAUUUUUGUUCUAUUAUGAAGGUCUUUGUACUGCUGGCACACCAUAUGGACCAUCUAUGAUACUGUCAAAAAAUUUGAUCAACUUAUGUAAAUAUACACAUCUAAGUUUAAAAAAAAUACUCUCAGGUGAGGAGACUUGGGUAUAUACAGGGUUUGUUUUGUCUAUUCUUUGUAACUUUUCUUAAAAUUAUAGAUGUGUUAGUUAUGAUUAAAAGAAUAUACGGAACGAUAUGAAAGGUUAUAUGCAUUUAAUAUAGACUAUUGACGGCUUUUAGAAUAGAAUUACAAUAGGUCUUAAGCACAAGAAGAUUUGCGGGCAGAUUAGGUUGGGUGGGUUAGAACAUAUUGUCAACAUUUAGUACCUGUACAAGUUGACCUACAACACUAUUUGACCAUUUUUUGGAAUGAUUUUUAUACCUGCUCUAAUUGUUGUUUAACGUUUGGAAUGAUUUUUAUCUAUUUACAUAUUUGAUGAAAUAUAUGUGUGAAUCUCAGACAUAGACAAAGUUGCGAAUUGUACCACAUAUCAUGCACCAAGUGCUAAGGAGGGAAACAUAUGACAUAACAAAUGUUCGUGAAGGGAUUGCUCUAGAAAAUAAUUUAUUUAGAGUUUAUGAUGCUUCAAAACCGGCGGGGAGGUUCAAAAACAUCCCCUUUGCGGGUUCAUUAAUUUAUUGAUUUUUUUCUAUAUGACGACUUGAUUAUUUAAUGUUGAAAUGAUUGUAUAGAUAUCAAGUAGGCAAGUUGUUCAUGUAUGUCCAAAAAAAUAUGGAUUUAUAACUUCAAUAUUUUGUUUCUACUUCACUUAAAUUCAUUUUUUUUCACAUGUUUAAUGUUUCUUUUUCAUACAUUAACACGAAUAACCGUCAAUCUUAAUGCUACAAUUCCAUCAGGUAUGCAACCCCUUCAUUUUUGAAUUUUGACUUUUUAUAUUUUUUUUUCAUUUUGAUAAUGUAUGUGUUAAUUUUUGUUUCCAUCAGUUUGAUUUUUGUUUAAUUUUGAUGAACUAUUGCAGUUGAUUGACACACAACUAAAUGAAUUUUGAAAGAUUCAUGGAAGUUGGUAUGAAACUUGAUGCAAAAUAAUGAGAAGUGGCUGAGCAAUUGGGAAACUUUAAGGGGCUGUAGAAGGUGCAAGCUAUUAGAUUUGAGCCAAGAAAUUCAAAGUUAUUCUAAAUUAGCCUCAGGGUGAUUUUGGACGGGAAUGAAUGUGAGCCACUUUGGAGGCGGGAUCCCUUUCUAAUCCGGGAUAAAGAAUGAUGACAGGAUGAUUCAAGUAGAGGGUGGUGUGGAUGCUCUUUCUGAAGAUGAACUUCGUGAAGAUUGGAGAGAGCGAGGUAUGCUUGGAUUACUUUCAGUGGAGAAAAUGCUUUAGCAGGUUUUAUUUACUUUCACACAUGCAAAUUUAUUUGACUGUAAUUGGUGGAGCAAACUAGAAAUCAAAUUGUUAUUUACUUUAAAGUAAUUUUAGAGUAGAGUUUUAGAUAGAGUUGUGUAUUCAGCCUCUGAGUUGGUCUAUUGAGUGAAGCUAGAGGUUGAUUUUGGGAGGGAAACAGUAUUAGCUGACCUACACUUCUUUGGAGGCGGGAUCCAUUUUAAAGUGGGUCAAAUUCUGGAUUCGGGUCACCCGUCUCUCAAAUACGGAAACCUUAUAUUUUCUAAUUUUCUACAUUUUUUAUUCACCUCUUUUUUUACAAAACGCAAAUGAAACCAUUUUCCUAAUCCUCUUCUUGUGACAAGCGAUUCCACAACAAUCGAAACAAAGGUGUCUUGCACAUCAUCAAGAAGAAAUUCUUAGGGUUUUCAAUUCUUCCACUAAAAGAUUAUGUUAUUUUACAAAUCAGUUCAGAUUAGGGCUGUUUUUUGGGCAUCAAUUUGUUUUUUCCUGUCGAUUGCAAUAAGGUGUAACCGGCGGCGGCGUACAAGUAGGGUAUUUUAGUGUCAUAUUUGCUCAAUGUUUGCAGUUAUUUCAUCCAUCAAUAUUUGUUAUUCACGCUUUAUCGUGUUUCUGGUGUUCGAAGCCCUAAUUAGAACAACAAUGCAAAGAGGGGCAAGAUGUUCAUCUUGAUCAGGUUAAAGCGGUGCUGCUGGAGUGUGCCGGCCACUUUGGCUUGUGUGCAAGUGUGGAAGCGAAGGUUAAUCAUGUUGUUGUGGAGAUCGGUAAUCCACUUUUGGACUUCAAUACAAGUUUUAAUUCAAGGGGGAGGGAGAUAGAGAUGUUCAUGGUUCGGUUCAAAAUCAUGAAAAUCGGUCAACAGUUUGUGAUAAGCAUGACAUAUUGGAUGAAAAAAUUUAGCGAUUGUCGGUUGUCAUAUCUUUGAGGGUGGAAUGAAUCUUUUCAUUUGUGAGUUUGUAGCAUUCCAAGAUGUAAAAAGAGGAGUGUUGAUAUUAAGUGAGGUAACUAUUGGUACAAUAAACUUUGUAAUAACUUAUAUUAUUUGUGAAUGUUAUAAAGUGCAAACUUAGGGUUCAAAAUAUGUAACAACUAAUUUGAAUUCAAAUACAUUAAAAUCAUGUACGUUGU